UAUCAUAACCAGAAAAAUUAACCAACUUCCACAAGCAGAAAGGGAUCUGUGUGAGCAUGGGAUCGACAUAUAUUGGACUGAACACUGCCCUUCAUGGCUUCAUACCAAUCAUCUCACAAGGGGUUUGUGAGUUUAUUUUUGCAGGCAGGUGAUUUGAAUUUUGAAACCUGUACCAUCAAACGGCAUGCAUUGGCUGGCCUUCUUUUGGGUGGUCUGUACCGGUUUUAUAGGCUAUACCUAUGAAUGGUGGCCUAGCAGUCAGGCAUGACUCAACCCUGCUACCUGGGAAAGAAAACAGUUUACUGGAUUAGAAUGUCUAUGCUCAUCUCCAGAAAUAUGUUAUUUCCCAUUUUGCUUCAGACUGUGUUUGCAGUAAA
rnacentral:lncRNA from 1 species